rnacentral:rRNA from 1 species
UGUAGGCUGAAACUCGCCUACAUGAAGCUGGAGUUACUAGUAAUCGCAGAUCAGAAUGCUGCGGUGAAUGCGUUCCCGGGUCUUGUACACACCGCCCGUCACACCAUGAGAGUUGAGAAUACCCGAAGUCCAUGUCAAAGUGGCCGAAGGUAGGCUUGAUGAUUGGGGUGAAGUCGUAACAAGGUAGC